ensembl:snRNA U6 U6 spliceosomal RNA
GUGCUCGCUUCAGCAGCGCAUAUCCUAAAAUUUGGAACGAUACAGAGAAGAUUAGCAUGGUCCCCGGGUAACAACGGUCCCUGGGUAACACGCAAAUUCGUGAAGCAUUCCAUACUUUU